UGAUGAAUAGUUUAAUAAAAACGGCAGGUUGUGGUUCUGCGGAUAGGUUAACCCUUUCAUUAG
rnacentral:tRNA from 1 species